rnacentral:rRNA from 1 species
AUUGAACGCUGGCGGCAGGCCUAACACAUGCAAGUCGAACGAGUGGCGGACGGGUGAGUAAUGUCUGGGAAACUGCCCGAUGGAGGGGGAUAACUACUGGAAACGGUAGCUAAUACCGCAUACCAUCGGAUGCGCCCAGAUGGGAUUAGCUAGUAGGUGGGGUAAUGGCUCACCUAGGCGACGAUCCCUAGCUGGUCUGAGAGACUGAUCGGCCACAUUGGGACUGAGACACGGCCCAGACUCCUACGGGAGGCAGCAGUAGGGAAUAUUGCACAAUGGGCGAAAGUCUGAUGCAGCAAUGCCGCGUGAGUGAAGAAGGUUUUCGGGUCGUAAAGCUCUGUUGGUGGUGAAGCGUUAAUCAACCAGGAAGCCCCGGCUAACUACGUGCCAGCAGCCGCGGUAAUAC